rnacentral:rRNA from 1 species
GAGGUGCGAAAGCGUGGGGAGCAAACAGGAUUAGAUACCCUGGUAGUCCACGCUGUAAACGAUGUCUACUAGCCGUCGGGGUCCUUAGUGACUUUGGUGGCGCAGCUAACGCGAUAAGUAGACCGCCUGGGGAGUACGGCCGCAAGGUUAAAACUCAAAUGAAUUGACGGGGGCCCGCACAAGCGGUGGAGCAUGUGGUUUAAUUCGAUGCAACGCGAAGAACCUUACCAGGUCUUGACAUCCUCGGAACUUGGCAGAGAUGCCUUGGUGCCUUCGGGAGCCGAGUGACAGGUGCUGCAUGGCCGUCGUCAGCUCGUGUCGUGAGAUGUUGGGUUAAGUCCCGUAACGAGCGCAACCCUUGUCCUUAGUUGCCAGCACGUCAUGGUGGGAACUCUAGGGAGACUGCCGGUGACAAACCGGAGGAAGGUGGGGACGACGUCAGGUCAUCAUGGCCCUUACGACCUGGGCUACACACGUGCUACAAUGGCUGGUACAGAGGGUUGCGAAGUCGCGAGGCGAAGCUAAUCCCUUAAAGCCAGUCGUAGUCCGGAUCGGAGUCUGCAACUCGACUCCGUGAAGUCGGAAUCGCUAGUAAUCGCAAAUCAGAAUGUUGCGGUGAAUACGUUCCCGGGCCUUGUACACUCCGCCC